AUUGAACGCUGGCGGCAGGCCUAACACAUGCAAGUCGAACGAGUGGCGGACGGGUGAGUAAUGUCUUGGAAACUGCCUGAUGGAGGGGGAUAACUACUGGAAACGGUAGCUAAUACCGCAUACCAUCAGAUUUGCCCAGAGGGGAUUAGCUUGUUGGUGGGGUAAAGGCUCACCAAGGCGACGAUCCCUAGCUGGUCUGAGAGGGUGACCAGCCACACUGGAACUGAGACACGGCCCAGACUCCUACGGGAGGCAGCAGUGGGGAAUCUUGCGCAAUGGGCGAAAGCCUGAUGGAGCCAUGCCGCGUGUGUGAAGAAGGUUUUCGGGGCGUAAAGUACUGUCAGCGGGGAGGCGUUACCCAAAGAAAAAGCAACGGCUAACUACGUGCCAGCCGCCGCGGUAAUUC
rnacentral:rRNA from 1 species